UACGGGGGGGGCAAGCGUUGUUCGGAAUUACUGGGCGUAAAGGGCUCGUAGGUGGCCAACUAAGUCGGACGUGAAAUCCCUCAGCUUAACUGGGGAACUGCGUCCGAUACUGGAUGGCUUGAGUUUGGGAGAGGGAUGCGGAAUUCCAGGUGUAGCGGUGAAAUGCGUAGAUAUCUGGAGGAACACCGGUGGCGAAGGCGGCUAUCUGGACGGUUUCUGACACUAAGACUCGAAAGCGUGGGGAGCAAACAGG
rnacentral:rRNA from 1 species